rnacentral:tRNA from 1 species
AAGAGAUUAUGACCUAAUAAGAACUGCUAAUUACUUAUUACUUUGGUUUAAUUCCAAGGCUCUCUUU